rnacentral:lncRNA from 1 species
AAUUUAGAUUUGAUAUUUUAUGUGCGAUUUUACUUUUUUCUCAAUAUCAAACAUGAUAUAGUUUCUGUUUUACUAACUGUAACAGAUUGUCGAAUCUAUUAUUGUUCGUAAAACAGAAAUUUGUACGGUUGGUUAUAGUCAGAUUGAUUGUAUGUACGUGUCAGUAAUUAUAACAUAUAUAUUUCAUAAAAUCACAGCACAUCACAUUAAAGUAAAAUAGACACCUGUAAAAUUUCUACUGUUGAGUAGCUUAAGGCGACAACUUAAACC